AUUGAACGCUGGCGGCAGGCUUAACACAUGCAAGUCGAGCGGGGUGAUGGUGCUUGCACUAUCACCUAGCGGCGGACGGGUGAGUAAUGCUUAGGAAUCUGCCUAUUAGUGGGGGACAACAUUUCGAAAGGAAUGCUAAUACCGCAUACGUCCUACGGGAGAAAGCAGGGGAUCUUCGGACCUUGCGCUAAUAGAUGAGCCUAAGUCGGAUUAGCUAGUUGGUGGGGUAAAGGCCUACCAAGGCGACGAUCUGUAGCGGGUCUGAGAGGAUGAUCCGCCACACUGGGACUGAGACACGGCCCAGACUCCUACGGGAGGCAGCAGUGGGGAAUAUUGGACAAUGGGCGCAAGCCUGAUCCAGCCAUGCCGCGUGUGUGAAGAAGGCCUUAUGGUUGUAAAGCACUUUAAGCGAGGAGGAGGCUACUUUAGAUAAUACCUAGAGAUAGUGGACGUUACUCGCAGAAUAAGCACCGGCUAACUCUGUGCCAGCCGCCGCGGUAAAAC
rnacentral:rRNA from 1 species